rnacentral:rRNA from 1 species
GAUCCUGGCUCAGGAUGAACGCUGGCGGCGUGCCUAACACAUGCAAGUCGAACGAGAUGCGUAUUGGAAAGCUUCGGCCGGAAGAUACGUUAUCUAGUGGCGGACGGGUGAGUAACACGUGGGUAACCUGCCUUAUGGAGGGGGAUAACAGAGAGAAAUCACUGCUAAUACCGCAUAAGCACACAGUACCGCAUGGUACAGGGUGAAAAGAUUUAUCGCCAUAAGAUGGACCCGCGU